rnacentral:rRNA from 1 species
UGAACGCUGGCGGCGUGCCUAAUACAUGCAAGUCGAGCGAACAGACGAGGAGCUUGCUCCUCUGACGUUAGCGGCGGACGGGUGAGUAACACGUGGAUAACCUACCUAUAAGACUGGGAUAACUUCGGGAAACCGGAGCUAAUACCGGAUAAUAUAUUGAACCGCAUGGUUCAAUAGUGAAAGACGGUUUUGCUGUCACUUAUAGAUGGAUCCGCGCCGCAUUAGCUAGUUGGUAAGGUAACGGCUUACCAAGGCAACGAUGCGUAGCCGACCUGAGAGGGUGAUCGGCCACACUGGAACUGAGACACGGUCCAGACUCCUACGGGAGGCAGCAGUAGGGAAUCUUCCGCAAUGGGCGAAAGCCUGACGGAGCAACGCCGCGUGAGUGAUGAAGGUCUUCGGAUCGUAAAACUCUGUUAUUAGGGAAGGACAAAUGUGUAAGUAACUAUGCACGUCUUGACGGUACCUAAUCAGAAAGCCACGGCUAACUACGUG